AUGGCCGAAUGCUUCAAUAGGGUGCUCAAAGGUGCACGUGGAUUACCCGUGACGGCAAUAGUUCAAUACACAUUUGACAAGAUGAAUGCGUACUUUGUAAAGUACUCGAUGGAAACCGAUGCACAGAUAGCGGGUGAGAACCCACGGAAGUACAAGUACAAGUUCCCACCCAAAGUUGAUGAAUGGUUGCUAUUUCAAUCACGGAAGGCGGACUCAGAAGAAGCUAUAUUAUAUGACAAUGAGGAGUGGAAGUACGAAGUGAAAGAGCCAGGAGGAACCACAAACGAUGGCCGGCAACAUGGAGGUCGGGCUUUCAAGGUGUCGUUAACACAAUGUGAUUGCACUUGCGGGAGGCCAUUGUUGCUUCAUCUCCCAUGCUCACAUUUGUAUGCCGCCGGCCGCGUUAGGAAUGUGGACAUCAAUCACCCAUGCACCGUGAGGGAGUCCCAGUUCUCAAUCAUGACGGUCAAGAAAACAUGGGCUCCCCGCUUUCACCCAUACUUUGACCAAUCACAAUGGCCGGAGUAUCAUGGAGUUCAACUAUGGCCGGAUCCG
rnacentral:rRNA from 1 species